UACUUUUUACUCAAACUCUUAAAAAUCGCUAUUUGUUUUGGAAUUGGUUUUUAAUUUGUGCGUGUUUUGAUUUCUGAAUUUCGAUGUUUUUAAUGUUGGUUCUUACUGAUUUCGAUUGUGUUAGGGUCUCUAUUUGAGCUUAAUAAUUUGAUUUUUGAAUUUUUAUGUUCUUGAUUGUUGGUUCUUACUGAUUUCGAUUAUGUUAGGAUCUCUGUUCAUUUUUCAUUUAAAGGAUUAUUUGUCUUACUUUUGGCUGAGCGAUUUCAAAUUUGACGGGGUCUUCGUCGAUUAUUUUUUAUUUUUUAUUGAAAAUUUCAAGGAUUUAAGUGAAGUUUUUUUUAGAUGUAAACUUCAAAAUUGCGUUGGUUGUUUUGUAAGCUUGCGGAUUUAUGUUACUAUUUACAUACAAUUUUUUUAUUUGCUUGUGGUAAUUAUGCUCUUUGUUGCAUACAGUUGAAAGCGCUAUCUUUGGUGAAUUUACUUUUGGGGUUUUCUGCAGUUUUACGAUUGAUGUAUUUCUAAUGGCUCUUAUUUAGCAACUUGCUAAUAAGUUAUCUCUUCAUUCCCAUGGUUUUUUUGUUCAGUUCAUCUUUAAAUUGAGAAUUUUUCAUUGUUCUCUUGGUUGUGAGGAUAGAUAUUGUGAAUUUAGGGUUUGUUCUUGGGAAUUUGGGUGAAUUUUUGAGAGAAUUUUGUUGAGUGAAGAAGGAUGGGGAGUAUAGAAGGAUUGGUGAAGCAACUUGGAGUGAGAAAGCCGAUUUCUGUGGCAGGACCUUCUGCUGUUGAUUUUCAGAAGACUCGGGAAUUUGAGAAGGAACUCGACUGGUUAUGAUCUAGCUAAAAGGUUCUGCCCCAAGUUUACACAUCUAUCUCUUGUAUGGUACGAUCUUAAGAGGAACUCGGCUGGUUAUGAUCUAGCUAAAAGGUUCUGCCCCAAGUUUACACAUCUAUCUCUUGUAUGGUACGAUCUUAAGAGUCAAGGGGCAAAGUUAGUUCUCGAGGGAAGACACAAUGCUGAUAUAGGAUGGAUGUCUGAGAUGAGAUUGAAAGGAAAUGCUCAGUCCUUGAAGCAGUGCCAAAGGACCUGCUCAGAAACAAGAAACAAAGGGAUAAAGCUAUUGACCUGCUUAUAACAGAGUGCAAGUAAGCAUAUUAUUUUGAAUUUUGUUCUUUCUAAGAUAUAAUUUUCAGCUUAGAAUUUUGGUUUGGAAGAAAGUCAAAAUAAGCGCAGAAAUUUGGAUGCUGAUGGUAGUGUUAAUGUUGUCCACUAUAACAGUUUUUUGGUGCAUCGUCAUGUCUCAUUAUCCUUUUAAUUCCAGCUUGCUUUCUCCCAAUUUUUUAGCUGCUUUGCAUUUAACCAGUGCGCAGGUCAGAAAACCCAAUUUUGCAUCUUAACUCAAAGGUUUUAAAAGGUAUUGGGUGCUACAUGAUAUUUUAAGACAGCAAUAAGAUAAGACUUUAGACCCUGAACAAAGAAAAUAUCCCUUAGCUCAUAAAUCACAGAUGUUUUCAUUGUCCAGUUGGUACUUCUUUAUCUUCCAUUAUGUCUAAAAAAGCUGAUCAGGUGUGAAUAGAGGUCAGUAAUCCGUAUAUAGCUUUAUCAUGUUAGUAUUGACUCAUUAUCACAGCAAUUAGGAUUUGAAUACUUGGGAAUCCUUUAUUUAAUUCGUAGGAGAGAGAGAUAGAGGUUUAAAAAAGAGGGAAAACUAAUUAAGCUACUAAUUGUGAGAAGAAAAUAGAAAUUAGUUUAAUUGUUGGAUUUUGGAUUAGCAGAAUUUUGUUUUGAAAAUAGGAAGUGCGGCAGAAUGUAUUAUAUUUGAUUCUAUGCUUUGGUCAUUGUUAUUAUCGGUAAAACAAUUAUUUGGGUGCUCAAAUAAUUUAGUUAAUUAUGGUAUAUCAGAUAUGGAGAUGAAUGAAUCUUUUAAAGGUAGAUUUCUUAUCAUUCUAAUUUAGAUGAUUUUUCAUAUCUGCUGCAUUAAAUUUCUGUGUAUUGUCAUGGUUCUUAUAUUCAUCAUAGUCAGUGAGAAAGAUCCAUUCUUAUUCGGUAAAGUGCUGCAUCAAGAUUUAAACUUCUCUUAUGUAUUUGCUUUGUGUGAAUAGAGGUCAGUAAUCCAUAUAUAGCUUUAGCAUGUUAGUAUUGACUCAUUAUCACAGCAAUUAGGAUUUGAAUAGUUGGGAAUCCUUACUUAAUUCGUAGGAGAAGAGAGAGAGAGAGAGAGAGAGAGAGAGAGAGAGAGAGAGAGAGAGAGAGAGAAAGAGAGAGAGGGAGAGGGAGGGGGGCUGGGUGAAAAUGGGCUUGGGGGAAAGAGAUGUAUAUAAAUAAGAGUCGGAAGAGAAAAUAUAUAGAGCAACAAAGAAAAAGUGUGACCAAUAUAGAGAAAAAAAAGAGAUACAGUGAUAAAGAGAAAGAUAGGUCGGAGGAAAAAGAAAUAAAGGGAGGUUUGAAAAAGAGGGAAAUAGAGAAAAACCAAGAAAUAUAAAGGGGCAAGGGGGAGAGAGGUAAAGAGAUAGGGAGGGGAGGGGAUGGAGAGAAGGAGAGGGUCAUAAUUAAUCUAAGGGAGAGGGAGAGGGAGGGGGAUGAUAAUUCUAAGGUUGUAUGGGUCAUACUUAGUCUGAGAGAUUUCGACGACAACAAAAGAUUAGCAGCAGUUCUAAAUUCUAAAGAAAGGAAGGAUGUGCAUUUUGCAAAGAAUUCGAGUGAACAGAAGAAGUCCUUAGAAGGAAUUAAGAUCCUCCUUGCAGAAGAUAGUUCUGGGAAAAGUAGAAGCUUGGUUGAUGGGUGUCGGAGAUGGAUCACAGGCAGUAAACACUCUCAAAUCCUCUUUAAAUGACGAAGGAUGUUGCACAACAUCUCCCUAGGUUACCAAAAAGAGCAGCAAGUAUAAUUUCAACUCUAAGCCGGGACUUCCUUCCAUUUGAAUUAAAUCGAAUGGUCUGUAAGGUUUUUCUACACAGCUGCAUUCUUCUACCGACUUAAUUGAGCAACUACGAGGUUUCAAUGGCAGAAGGUUGGUUAUUUAUUUGGAGACUGAUGGGCCCGGUCAGAUUGUAUUGAGUAGAAAAAAUUUUGUAGAUUACAAUUUGAAAAUUGAGGAAAUUUUGUAAAUAACAUGUGCCAUUAGUAAUGUAAAAAACUUACAUAAAUUUUCAAUUUUUCUUUA